rnacentral:lncRNA from 1 species
GUUUUUUAAAAAAAUUAAUGCUUUAUAGAUAUACAUAAUGGUGAAAUUUACUAUGACAUGUUUACAUAUGUACCUAGCAUAAUUUGGUCAAUAUCAUUCUGAGGAUGUGGGGGAAAAUGUACACUAACACAUUUUUGGUGGGACUGCAAAUUACUACAACCACUCUGGAAAGCAGUAUGGAGUUUCUUCAAAAGACUAGGAAUGAAUACACCAUAUGACCAGAGGACCCAGUUAUCCCACUCCUUGGUAUUUAUCCAAAAGAACUAAAAUCAAUAUACUACAGUGAUAUAGGCACAUCACUGUUUAUAGCAGCAUGAUUUAUAAUAGCCAAAUUAUGGAAACCAGCCCAGUUCCCUGACCGCAGAAGAACAGAUGAAGUCAUGUCCUUUACUUGCUGAAAAAGGAUAAUGCCAAGUCACUACGAAAUGUAGUGAUUGGUCAGAGCCUCUUGUUUCAGGAUGGAAGGUGUGGAUCAUUCAGAGUGGCUCCUCACAGGUAAGAGUUGCAAUCCAGUGGAUCUAAGGAAGAUAUAAACAUUAGCUGAAAUGACUUGUAUCUGAUUUUUUUGUGGUCAGUGUUUCUGGCAAGUCCUCCUCCAGGUGUGAUAUUCCCCCCCCCCCAUAACUUGGGACUACAGAGUGUUUGGUAAGGGAGAUUUGUGCAUUCAUAGCAAACUUUAGUGUGCAGUUUUUCUAUAAAAGAUAGGCUUCAGUGAACAGUGAUCCUUAAAAGCUACAGCAGGCAGAAACAGAGAGAAACUUGGGAGAAUGGAGUCUCCCCCACCCUGCCGCCAAAUUUUCUUAUUAUUUGAAAAUCAUUCACAAAUGGGGAAAUGUUCUUAGUUUGUGACCUUAAAAAGACAAUCCUCAGCUAGAUUUCCCUAGUGGGCUACACUUUACAUGGAAAGAUGGGAGGCCUCUCCUGGUGCAAAAGCCCUCUUGACCACUUUACUUAUGAGUACAACUACUCCUCACAGCUCCCAAUCUCCCUUAUUCUGUUUCUCUCAAGUGUUUAUCACUUGAUAAAAUAUUACAUGAUGUAGGUAUUGUUUUUUAGUUUAUUGUCUGGAUGCUUCAAUAGAAUGUCAGCUCCAUACAGAAAGAAUUUUUUUCAUCCAUUUGGAUCACUGUCAUAUUCCAGUAUGUAGAGAGUGCACAACUUCUCUGAGUGCCAUUCCAUAAGAAAGGGGUGAAAAGCACCAGUCUUUGCAAAUUCUGGUUCCAUCCAUAGGAAGACAAGACAGAACAACAUCUACACCAUCCACAGGCACCAUGUACACCACUACUUUCAGUCUGAGUUUUGU